rnacentral:rRNA from 1 species
UACGAAGGGUGCAAGCGUUACUCGGAAUUACUGGGCGUAAAGCGUGCGUAGGUGGUUCGUUAAGUCUGUCGUGAAAGCCCCGGGCUCAACCUGGGAAUGGCGAUGGAUACUGGCGGGCUAGAGUGCGGUAGAGGAGAGUGGAAUUCCCGGUGUAGCAGUGAAAUGCGUAGAGAUCGGGAGGAACAUCAGUGGCGAAGGCGGAUCUCUGGGCCAUUACUGACGCUGAGGAGCGAAAGCGUGGGGAGCGAACAGG